GCCCUUGUGUCGGAACUGGUAUACGAGUCGCACUUAAAAUGCGAUGCCCGUAAGGGAUUGAGAGUUCGAAUCUCUCCGAGGGCA
rnacentral:tRNA from 1 species